GAGAGUUGGGUAGUCCGCAGCGAGCGCACCCUUACCUUCAAUUGCCAGCACGUUAUGGUGGGAACUUUGAAGGAACUGCCGGUGAUAAGCCGGAGGAAGGUGGGGAUGACGUCAAGUCCUCAUGGCCCUUACGGGCCGGGCUACACACGUGAUACAAUGGUGAUUACAAAGGGCCGCUAAAGAGCGAUCUCAAGCAAAUCCUUAAAAGUCAUCUCAGUUCGGAUUGCACUCUGCAACUCGAGUGCAUGAAGUUGGAAUCGCUAGUAAUCGUAGAUCAGCGCGCUACGGUGAAUACGUUCCCGGGUCUUGUACACACCGCCCGUCACACCAUGGGAGUUGGUUUUACCUGAAGCUAGUUCGCUAACCGCAAGGAGGCAGCUAACCACGGUAAGAUUAGCGACUGGGGUGAAGUCGUAACAAGGUAACCGUAGGGGAACCUGCGGUUGGAUCACCUCCUUU
rnacentral:rRNA from 1 species